rnacentral:rRNA from 1 species
GAGCGAACAGAUAAGGAGCUUGCUCCUUUGACGUUAGCGGCGGACGGGUGAGUAACACGUGGGUAACCUACCUAUAAGACUGGGAUAACUUCGGGAAACCGGAGCUAAUACCGGAUAACAUUUGGAACCGCAUGGUUCUAAAGUGAAAGAUGGUUUUGCUAUCACUUAUAGAUGGACCCGCGCCGUAUUAGCUAGUUGGUAAGGUAACGGCUUACCAAGGCAACGAUACGUAGCCGACCUGAGAGGGUGAUCGGCCACACUGGAACUGAGACACGGUCCAGACUCCUACGGGAGGCAGCAGUAGGGAAUCUUCCGCAAUGGGCGAAAGCCUGACGGAGCAACGCCGCGUGAGUGAUGAAGGGUUUCGGCUCGUAAAACUCUGUUAUUAGGGAAGAACAAAUGUGUAAGUAACUGUGCACAUCUUGACGGUACCUAAUCAGAAAGCCACGGCUAACUACGUGCCAGCAGCCGCGGUAAUACGUAGGUGGCAAGCGUUAUCCGGAAUUAUUGGGCGUAAAGCGCGCGUAGGCGGUUUCUUAAGUCUGAUGUGAAAGCCCACGGCUCAACCGUGGAGGGUCAUUGGAAACUGGGAAACUUGAGUGCAGAAGAGGAAAGUGGAAUUCCAUGUGUAGCGGUGAAAUGCGCAGAGAUAUGGAGGAACACCAGUGGCGAAGGCGACUUUCUGGUCUGUAACUGACGCUGAUGUGCGAAAGCGUGGGGAUCAAACAGGAUUAGAUACCCUGGUAGUCCACGCCGUAAACGAUGAGUGCUAAGUGUUAGGGGGUUUCCGCCCCUUAGUGCUGCAGCUAACGCAUUAAGCACUCCGCCUGGGGAGUACGACCGCAAGGUUGAAACUCAAAGGAAUUGACGGGGACCCGCACAAGCGGUGGAGCAUGUGGUUUAAUUCGAAGCAACGCGAAGAACCUUACCAAAUCUUGACAUCCUUUGAAAACUCUAGAGAUAGAGCCUUCCCCUUCGGGGGACAAAGUGACAGGUGGUGCAUGGUUGUCGUCAGCUCGUGUCGUGAGAUGUUGGGUUAAGUCCCGCAACGAGCGCAACCCUUAAGCUUAGUUGCCAUCAUUAAGUUGGGCACUCUAGGUUGACUGCCGGUGACAAACCGGAGGAAGGUGGGGAUGACGUCAAAUCAUCAUGCCCCUUAUGAUUUGGGCUACACACGUGCUACAAUGGACAAUACAAAGGGCAGCUAAACCGCGAGGUCAUGCAAAUCCCAUAAAGUUGUUCUCAGUUCGGAUUGUAGUCUGCAACUCGACUACAUGAAGCUGGAAUCGCUAGUAAUCGUAGAUCAGCAUGCUACGGUGAAUACGUUCCCGGGUCUUGUACACACCGCCCGUCACACCACGAGAGUUUGUAACACCCGAAGCCGGUGGAGUAACCAUUUA